GUGAGACGUGAGGAGCAGGUGAGACGUGAGGAGCAGGUGUGGACCAUCACUGGGGCAAGAGACACAAAAGACGAAAAACCACAAAGUAAAACAGGAAAUCACAAAUUCAAGAUACAAAGGAAAUAAAGUUUUUGAACAGUGGAGGUGUGUUGCACUGAAGAGUAACUUCAACCAGACUUUGGCUGCAAAGAGAAAAGCUUGGUGGGAAGAGCUGAUGCAGACAAACAGAAACAAUCCAAGGAUGAAGACCUCACUGGCUGUGUUGGGUUUAUCCCUCUUCCACCUGUGUGUGGCUGAGCUCCUGCCACAGCAACAAGACGGAGACAUGAACAGCAUGGAGAGUCCCGGCAUCGAACAAGCUGGUCCCAUAGCCGGUGACGUAACAGAGAGCCCACGAUACAGUAGCCAUCUUGAUGUCAGCAUAAGAGAGGCGGAACAGCAAAACACCGAGAGACAGCUCGAGGAGCUGAGGAGAGAGGACCAAGGCAACCGGGAGGCAUUUGGCGAAUCCUUCGACAAUGUUGGAAACACUGGACCCUACAACACUGAGAUCACACUGCCCCACAGGAGCGACGGCGAUAACACAGGCGCAUACAGCCCAUCAGCAGGUAUCUUCACUGCUCCGGUCAAAGGAGUUUACCACUUCAGCUUCUCUGGUCAGACUGUAUCAACUAAACCGAUGGGCCUGCGACUAAUGAAGACUAUCAACCAUCCGGAUGGACGCCGCUUUGAGACGGCAAACAAUGUCAUGACCCUACCUCUCAAUGAGGGAGACCAGGUGUACAUGAGACUCCGGCGAAGAAUCCAUUUCAGAAUCAGAAUCAGAAUCAGAAUCAGAAUCAGCAUCCACUUACAUGUGCAUAUUUCACAUUGA
rnacentral:lncRNA from 1 species